rnacentral:ncRNA from 1 species
UGAAGGAUAUUAGAUUUUCUUAAUGUUCUAUACGUUUCCCAGCAACUCGGCAACAGGACGUUGCCGAGAGCGAGACUUGAGCCAUGGAUGGCGAAUGUCGAACGGUUGCGUCAACUUUAAAACACCUAUAUUAGAACAUUUAGAAAAUAUUAUAUCCGUA